AGUGAACGCUGGCGGUAGGCCUAACACAUGCAAGUCGAACGGCAGCACAGUAAGAGCUUGCUCUUACGGGUGGCGAGUGGCGGACGGGUGAGGAAUACAUCGGAAUCUACUUUUUCGUGGGGGAUAACGUAGGGAAACUUACGCUAAUACCGCAUACGACCUACGGGUGAAAGCAGGGGAUCUUCGGACCUUGCGCGAUUGAAUGAGCCGAUGUCGGAUUAGCUAGUUGGCGGGGUAAAGGCCCACCAAGGCGACGAUCCGUAGCUGGUCUGAGAGGAUGAUCAGCCACAUUGGAACUGAGAAAGGGUCCAGACUCCUAGGGGAGGAAGCAGUGGGGAAUAUUGGACAAUGGGCGCAAGCCGGAUCCAGCCAUACCGCGUGGGUGAAGAAGGCCUUCGGGUUGUAAAGCCAUUUUGUUGGGAAAGAAAAGCAGCAGGUUAAUACCCCGCCGUUCUGACGGUACCCAAAGAAUAAGCACCGGCUAACUUCGUG
rnacentral:rRNA from 1 species